rnacentral:rRNA from 1 species
UAAUACGGGGGGGGCAAGCGUUGUUCGGAAUUACUGGGCGUAAGGAGCGAGCAGGUGGUUCAUUAAGUCAAUUGUGAAAGCUCAAGGCUUAACCUUGAAAUUGCUUUUGAUACUGAUGGACUAGAGUUUGGGAGAGGAUAGUGGAAUUCUAAGUGUAGAAGUGAAAUUCGUAGAUAUUUAGAGGAGCACCGAUAGCGAAGGCAACUAUCUGGCCCUUUACUGACACUCAGAAGCGAAAGCUUGGGUAGCAAACAGGAUUAGAUACCCUGGUAGUCCAUGCUGUAAACGAUGAGUGCUAGAUGUUAGAAGUUUACUUCUAGUAUCGAAGCUAACGCGUUAAGCACUCCGCCUGGGGAGUACGGCCGCAAGGCUA